rnacentral:lncRNA from 1 species
CUUCCUUUACCAGUCCAAAUGCUAUACCGGUUAAACUCCGCCAUUUUGCCUCUUAGUGCUCAUGCUUGAGCCCGCUUGCCCAACUCCUGAGAUGUCAUCGGGAAGCUGCUGAUCAGCAAUUACAGCACCACCUGUCUUCCACAUUAUGAUGCGAAGCUGAAGAUUCACCCCACUAGGUCAAUGGGGACACUAAUUGGGGAAUAUUUGAGGUGCAGAGAGGAGGUAGAUGCUACAUCCUGUGAACCUCAAACACAGCAAGCAGUCACCGUCUAUGAACUAGAAAGCUGAUUCACCAGACACCGAAUCUGCCAGCACCUUGGUCUUGGACUUCCCAGCCUCCAGAACUAGGAAAUGUUCCAACACAUCUGAGGAAACACAUGCCUUCCCAGACUGGCCUGUUGCUGUUUCCCAGGAGCUGCAUUCUGGAAGGUGGACCAUCAGGUGGAAGAAGUAUUCUUCAGAGAGCUGCCUUCCCAAGGGAAUGGUGACAGCUUGCGCUUGCCGGGGAGUCCUGCUGCCUUCCGAGGUGUGAAGGGAAGGCAUGCACUGUGCAUAUGCUGUACCAUACAGUUUUGCCUACAACUGCUUGUAGCUUCAUUGUAGCUGUGAAUGCUCCGUUCCUCUCCUUUUCACCCCUGAAGAUUCGCGAACAUGCAGGAUUGAGCUGUGCGAGGCAUAGCAUUCCCCACAUGGUAGACGAAGGCGGAUGUGGGUCUGAUGGCUCUACUGCCGUCCACCCGGGAGGAUGGACGUGUGUUCCGGGAUAUCAGAGCUUGCGGCUGACCAGCCCACAUGUCCAUGCAGCCCUCCCGCUGGCUGUGUCGACAUUUUGGGUGUCACUGAAGGAUUUUACUGGUGCAGACUUUACAAAGGCAAAAUUGUUUCUCAAGGAAGUGGACAUGAAAGAUCUAAAAUCAGGGCUGCUUAAAAAAAGCAAGCACAGAUUAAUGACCUAUCUACAUCCUACACGGUUUUAGGACUGCGCCUAGAUGGGCUUAAAGACCCUAGCCUAAAAACUGUAAAUGUGCUUCCGUCUUUGCCCUGUAGGACAAGAAAGCCUUACGGGCUUGCUUCUAACUGUGAGAGGAGGAGAGGCCAGGAAGGGAGAGGGAGAAAAGGAGGAGAACAGGAGACGAGAAGGAGGGGAGAGUGAGGAGAGGAGGAGAGAGGCUUGUCAAAAUCUUUUUAGUGCACAAAACUAAUUUUGUUCAUCUUGGAUUUGGUGAGCUGGGUAAUAUUCUGUGCACGGCUCCUAAAUGAAUUAUUAAAUGUCAACUCAAGAUGGCUUAACUAAAAUACUCAAUUUAAUAACCAAAAGUAUCUAAGGUAACAACAACAAUUUUGCAGGUGAUUGUAGAGUUGUCAAGUCAAACCAUUAUAGACAAGCAUUUGGGGUUUUCACAUAAUCUCCUUCCACAUCUCAUCUUCUGUCACUAAAUACCCACUCUGGUGAGCAUAUUCCAUUUCAAUAAAGAUCAUCGCUUCGGUGCCAGCUUCUUUUUAUUCAGAUCGAGCCAGAAAACCUUUUUUUUUUUUCUAAAAUAUAAAGCAAAACAAGAUCUCAGUCACAACCACCAAAUCUUUAUUAAUGCAUUCCUUGUGCUACUUCUGAAUAUUAAUAAAAAUUAAUAAUUAAUUUUGCCUUUGGCAUUGCAAGAUAUACUAGUUUUAAUUAGUGUACUGUACUCCUAUACAAUUAAAAAAUAAUUGAUGUCCAUGCUUAU